rnacentral:rRNA from 1 species
GAAGGUAGCGUAAUCAUUUGUCUUUUAAAUAGAGACCUGUAUGAAUGGCAUAACGAGGGUUUAACUGUCUCCCUCCCCUAGUCAAUGAAAUUGAUCUGCCCGUGCAGAAGCGGACAUAAACACAUAAGACGAGAAGACCCUAUGGAGCUUUAGACAAAAGAUCAAACAUGUAAAGAAACCAAACUAACCAAAAGGAACACAAGGGCUACAAAACCCGACGUAAAAUGAUCCAAAUGUCUUCGGUUGGGGCGACCAUGGGGGAAAGAAAAGCCCCCACGAGGAACUAGGGGCAAUCCAUUAAGUCAAGAGAUACACCUCUAAACAACAGAAAAUCUGACCAAAAAUGACCCAGGACACUAAUCCUGAUCAACGAACCAAGUUACCCUAGGGAUAACAGCGCAAUCCUUUCCCAGAGUCCAUAUCGACGAAAGGGUUUACGACCUCGAUGUUGGAUCAGGACAUCCUAAUGGUGCAGCCGCUAUUAAGGGUUCGUUUGUUCAACGAUUAA